GACGAACGCUGGCGGCGUGCUUAACACAUGCAAGUCGAACGGACAGGCCCUGCUCUUGUGGGUUGCUCGAUUGGCGAACGCGUGAGUAACACGUGAGUAUCCUGUCCUUAUCUUUGGGAUAACUUCAGGAAACUGCGGCUAUUAUCGGAUAGGAUCUCUUGCUGCAUGGUGGGGGUUGGUAAGUUUCGGCGGUUGGGGCUGGACUCGCGGCUUACCAGCUUGUUGGUGGGGUAGUGGCUUACCAAGGCUUUGACGGGUAGCCGGCCUGAGAGGGUGACCGGCCACAUUGGGACUGAGAUACGGCCCAGACUCCUACGGGAGGCAGCAGUGGGGAAUAUUGCACAAUGGGCGGAAGCCUGAUGCAGCAACGCCGCGUGCGGGAUGACGGCCUUCGGGUUGUAAACCGCUUUCGCCUGUGACGAAGCGUGAGUGACGGUAAUGGGUAAAGAAGCACCGGCUAACUACGUG
rnacentral:rRNA from 1 species